GAUUAACGCUGGCGGCGUGCCUAACACAUGCAAGUCGAACGAGGUAGCAAUACCUAGUGGCAGACGGGUGAGUAACGCGUGGUCAACCUACCGUUGAGUGGGGGAUAACUAGCCGAAGGUUAGCUAAUACCGCAUACGAGGUCGAGGGGCAUCCCCUGAUCUUAAAAGGAGCAAUCCGCUCGAUGACGGGACCGCGUCCCAUUAGCUAGAUGGUGGGGUAAUGGCCUACCAUGGCCCGAUGGGUAGCUGGUUUGAGAGAGCGACCAGCCACACUGGGGACUGAGAAACGGCCCAGACUCCUACGGGAGGCAGCAGUGAGGAAUUUUCCGCAAUGGGCGAAAGCCUGACGGAGCGACGCCGCGUGUGGGAAGAAGGCCUUCGGUCGUAACCACUGUCG
rnacentral:rRNA from 1 species